UACGAAGGGUGCAAACGUUGCUCGGAAUUAUUGGGCGUAAAGCGCACGUAGGCGGCUUUGCAAGGCCCAUGUGAAAGCCCACGGCUUAACCGUGGAAGUGCAUGGGAAACUGCAGAGCUUGAGUACUUAAGAGGAUCGCGGAAUUCCCGGUGUAGAGGUGAAAUUCGUAGAUAUCGGGAGGAACACCAGUGGCGAAGGCGGCCUUCUGGACAGCGACUGACGCUGAGACGCGAAAGCGUGGGGAGCAAACAGG
rnacentral:rRNA from 1 species